rnacentral:rRNA from 1 species
UGGGGAAUAUUGCACAAUGGGCGCAAGCCUGAUGCAGCCAUGCCGCGUGUGUGAAGAAGGCCUUCGGGUUGUAAAGCACUUUCAGCGAGGAGGAAGGUGGUGAGCUUAAUACGCUCAUCAAUUGACGUUACUCGCAGAAGAAGCACCGGCUAACUCCGUGCCAGCAGCCGCGGUAAUACGGAGGGUGCAAGCGUUAAUCGGAAUUACUGGGCGUAAAGCGCACGCAGGCGGUUUGUUAAGUCAGAUGUGAAAUCCCCGGGCUCAACCUGGGAACUGCAUUUGAAACUGGCAAGCUAGAGUCUCGUAGAGGGGGGUAGAAUUCCAGGUGUAGCGGUGAAAUGCGUAGAGAUCUGGAGGAAUACCGGUGGCGAAGGCGGCCCCCCUGGACGAAGACUGACGCUCAGGUGCGAAAGCGUGGGGCAGCAAACAGGAUUAGAUACCCUGGUAGUCCAGCGCUGUAAACGAUGUCGAUUUGGAGGUUGUGCCCCUUGAGGCGUGGCUUCCGGAGCUAACGCGUUAAAUCGACCGCCUGGGGAGUACGGCCGCAAGGUUAAAACUCAAAUGAAUUGAC